UACGGGGGGAGCAAGCGUUGUUCGGAUUUACUGGGCGUAAAGGGCGCGUAGGCGGCGCAACAAGUCACUUGUGAAAUCUCCGGGCUUAACCCGGAGCGGUCAAGUGAUACUGUCGUGCUAGAGUGCGGAAGGGGCUACUGGAAUUCUCGGUGUAGCGGUGAAAUGCGUAGAUAGUCGGGAGGAAUACCGAUGGCGAAGGCAGGUCUCUGGGC
rnacentral:rRNA from 1 species